rnacentral:rRNA from 1 species
UACAGAGGGUGCAAGCGUUAAUCGGAAUUACUGGGCGUAAAGCGUGCGUAGACGGUCAUGUAAGUCGGGUGUGAAAGCCCCGGGCUCAACCUGGGAAUUGCAUUCGAGACUGCAUGGCUAGGAUGCGGAAGAGGGAAGCGGAAUUUCCGGUGUAGCGGUGAAAUGCGUAGAUAUCGGAAGGAACACCAGUGGCGAAAGCGGCUUCCUGGUCCAGCAUCGACGUUCAGGCACGAAAGCGUGGGGGAGCAAACAGG